GUAUGGGCAUGUUGGAUCCCUGCUUGGGCARCGACGACAUCUCCUCCACGUCUCUUCAGUUGUUGGCACGAGUAUGUUCUCUGCCGAUGUUGGUYAUCCUGUAUUGAAUACCWAUCUUAAGGGCAUUAAGUUGGCUAGAUUCGUUUGUUUCCCGCCUUGUGCUGCUGCUCCCCGURGGCAAGCGGUGCGGGGUGGGCCAAAUCGCGCCCGUUGUGUAUCGCACCAUGUUCGCCCUUUGCGGUGUUCGGGUUGACGACCCACGACGUUAUGCUCGAUAUCUCGGGUAYGGUAUAUAAUGUGGGUACGUGGCCAUCGGCCUCCGAGCUCCACAAACAAGCGUUCUACGCUUCAUGCGAACGACAGUCGGUUCGGUGUUUGGUCGUGCUCUCGUAGCUCGAUUCAAGCCGUGCAGACGUCGA
rnacentral:misc_RNA from 1 species